rnacentral:misc_RNA from 1 species
UCAAGCCGAGCGCUACCAGCGGCGAUUGCUGCGAACUGCAAGUUACUUUGGUUUGCUUUGGACGACGUAGCGGCCUCAAGUUAACCGGCGACCGGCUUGAAAACGGAAUUCAAUUCUGGUGCCUGCAGCAUGGGUGGCGGCCGAGCCCGCAAAGGCGGCAGCAAUGGUGGGGGAGCGGAAGAGGCACCAGCUCGGGCCAAGAUGAGUGCUCCUGGUGAAGCACAGCAGGUGGCCCUGGAACGGGUGAAUACAGCGAGGAAAUCCUUUCCUGCCACUUGUGAGACCCACAAGAAGCACAGGAAAAGGUUCUUUCGUGGAGGCACCUAUGGUCUAUACCUGAGUGUCUCUCGGCGCAAACGGCGUCACCGCAAGGCCGGCUCAGACGAAAGUGGCACUUCUAUGGAUGGGGAGGCAGCUGCACCUGAAGCGGGCAAGGAGAACAGCUGCCCUGCACCUGAAGCAGAGGCUCCAGCAGAGGAGAGUGCGAGUGAAGGAAACUCGCAGAAUGGGGUCCAGCCUGUGGAGGGCUCUGCUGGUUGGGGCCAUGAUUCAAGCAUUGCUUCUAGUGUCAAGAGUCGACAGCGAGUGAAGCGGCGCCUAAUGGAUGACCAUGUUGAUGUGGAUGAAGUGAGCCUCUGCUCAUCCAGCAGUCCACCUGACGGACCUGGCAAGAAAGUUCCUCCACGCAAAGGUAUUAAUGGUGGUGGUCCCUUCUGCCAGGCAGACCUCAAUUGUGUUCGUCUAGAGGUUGUGUGGGAUAGCGAGUCACCGUCAUGCCAGCGGCCGUGCUGCUGCACAGAGCCAAGUAGGCCUGCAACAGAGAAUCAGUCACAUUGCCAAGGUCUCGACUCCUUGCAAGGCAGGGUUGUGGGAUGCACACGACCACUUAGGUCGCAGCAACUAGGACGUGCUUCAGUGCGGAUGCCUUUUGGAGCCUUCUGUGGGGCCCACCAGCAUCGGCUGCGGCUGCACCACUGCUGUCCCCACUGUGGCCUCUUCUGCACUCAAGGUCAUUUUGUGAUGUGCAGCCAAGGGCACCUGUGGCACAGCCAGUGCCAGCUGAAAGGUCACUCAGAGGAAAGCUGCCCCCAUUGUGGAUGUGAUAUAUUUCAGCCUGUGCGCCUUGAAGCUCUUGGCUGUCCCCUCUUCCAGACAUCCCAGCAGUGCUGUGCAUCAGGUCCUCGGGCACGUAUAUCGCUCCCAAAGCCAAAGCCUCCAGCAUCGAGUAAUGAGAAAGGAGACCCAGGAAAAUUGAAGGAGACCCAGGAGAGUGCAGCCACUGUUGAGAAGCCUCCAAUAUCACCUGGACGCAAGGAAUUAGACCAGUUGGCACGGCAUCUGCGGCAGGCUGCUUCAUCCACUAGUGGUCGUCCAGUUCCACAAGGCGCUGCGGGAACAUCUGUCUUGCUGGCUGCCUGCCGUCAAGGCGAUGUUGAUAGAGUUGUUCACUGCCUUUCUGGCCGAGAUAUUGGCCCAGCAGACUAUGGAGCCUUGCAUGCAGCUGCCCAAGGAGGACAUCUAAUCCUGGUUCACAUGCUCCUUCAGGUGGGCCUUUCCGUUAACCAAAGCGACGAUCAACUGUACACGCCUCUGAUGAGGGCUGUGGAUGCUGGAGCCUGUGCUGUUGUGGAGUACUUACUGAAAGCCGGUGCUAAUGCUCAUGCCAAGGGUGAAGAUGGUAUGAGCUGCCUGCACUUGGCUGCUCGGUGUGGCAGCCUGCAACUUUGUCACGUGUUCCUGGAUGCAAAACUGCCUGUAAAUGAUCAGGAUGAAGGAGGAUGGACACCAUUGGUGUGGGCCACAGAGCAUCGGCGAGUCGAUGUGGUCCGACUUCUGCUAUCCAAGGGAGCAGACCCAAACCUCAGGGAUACUGAGGAAAACACAGCACUACACUGGUCUGCCUUCUCAGGCAAUGUGGAGAUUUCGUGGAUGUACCUGGAGCGCGGCUGUGAUCCCAAUGCCAGCAAUGAGCGUGGUGACACCCCUCUGCACGUGGCUGCAAGGCAGGACAACUAUGAUGUGGUGGUGUUGCUGCUGAACCACAAGGCUCGGUUUGAUGCUCCAAACAAGCUUGGUGACACACCAUUGGCAUGUUGUAAGGAUGACAAAGCCACAAGCUACUCCUUGCUGAGCAUCAACCAGAUGCUUGGGCAACUGCUAAAGAGCAAGCUGCGUAUUGAGCGUGAACUUCUCAGGGACAUCAGCAAGGGCAAGGAGCCACAUCCAAUCUCAUGUGUCAAUGGAGUUGAUGAUGCACCUGCUCCGACUGACUUCAUGUAUCUGCUUGAGAACUGCCAGACAGCUGCUGUUCCUUUGGACCGCUCCAUCAAUGCCUUGCAGGUUCUACUUAUUCUCUGCCUCCUCUCCCUCUCCUCUCAACCAUUCUAUCUACCUUCCCUGUGGACUUGCACUUUACUAGAAAGAUUUGUAAGUGCGAAGACAAAUGUGCAUCACCAACUUGUGUCUGUUCGAACAUCAGUUACCAGUGCUGGUAUGAUGAGGAUGGCUGUCUUGUUCCAGAAUUCAACUUACUUGAUCCCCCAAUGCUGUUUGAGUGCAACAGGGCAUGUCACUGUUGGAAUGACUGCCGCAACCGAGUUGUCCAGAAAGGCAUCACGUGUCAUCUUCAGCUGUUUCGGACACAAGGAAAAGGCUGGGGUGUUCGCACUUUGCAGGAUAUUCCCCAGGGUGCAUUUGUAUGCGAGUACAUUGGAGAGAUGCUCUCCGAUUCAGAGGCAGAUAAGCGAGAAGAUGACUCAUACCUGUUUGACUUGGAAAAUCGGGAUGGAGAAACAUACUGUCUGGAUGCCCGGCGUUAUGGCAAUGUGAGCCGGUUUGUGAACCACCUGUGUGAGCCAAACCUUGUGCCUGUACGAGUUUUUGUGGACCACCAGGACCUGCGGUUUCCUCGAAUGGCCUUCUUCAGUUCACGGCCCAUUGCUCGCAAUGAAGAACUGGGGUUUGACUAUGGGGAAAAAUUCUGGAUAAUUAA